rnacentral:misc_RNA from 1 species
GUGGUGGGUGGGUGGUGUUGUAAGAAAAAAAAACACUAUUAUUCCUUAUGAUUUAUUGGAGAUCGUUAAACAACCAGUGUGAAAAGCUUUCUUCAAUCAUAAUAGUGAGACAUGAUGAUUACAUAAACAAUUUUUGCAUUGGAAAACAAAGUGGAAACAUUUUGCUAUUUUGUGCAUGCAGUCUUUUUCUUCAGCUUUGAGAGGCCAUUGACCAAAUGUCAUACUGGCCACUUUUUAUUAGAUCAAGCUACCAAAACAAAUUGCUUAAUCUAUGAAACAAUCAACCUAGCAUUAAGUCGCAGACAGUACAAAAAUAGCCAAGGCUCAUCAGAAGCCAAGUAAGGAGCACCUUACAUAUAUGGCAGAAUAAAUUCCCAAAACAAAUGUUGCAAAAUUGUUGAAUCUAAUUGACCAGCACAUGGAUCAUAAGCUGGUAUUAAAAUGACAGAAACUACGUUGAGAGUAC